AGCCAGCCUAGGAGCUUUGCGACUGGUAGUAAUCCGAAACGGGACUGGAAGUGUAGAGAGAGGACAAGACGCCCAGUCUAGAGGUGAAAGGGGCUCUUCCGGGGCUCCAGGCCCUCAGCCCCGCCCCCACAUCUCGCCCCGCCCCCAGGCGUCCUCUGUUGGAAGAUCGAGUUCUACCUGGUCUGCUUGUUCUAGGGUUUUUCUCCGGCCCUAGCAUUCCCAGUGUGGACUGGGCGGAGGACGGGCUCAGCGCCAGGAUGGAGGGCCGGACACCCUGGUGAGGCGAGAGCAUCCUGCCCAUCUUCCCCCUCCGCCUCCUAUUGCUGGAAUGGGGGGCUGCGGCCGCUUUGAAGGUGGCUUCGCUGGACUCUGCAUGUGUGCUCCGGAGUUGUGCCCUGUGGGACACUUGGCUCUUCCUUCCUCGGGUGGGUGCGGACAUGGCAAACGGGCAGGUCCGGCUGCGGCUUACUACCCAGUUCCCAAGGACCUAGCCCCACCUUGAUGACCUCAGUUACGCGCAACCCCUGCCCUCCCACCUCCAUCCCCUUUCCCCCAGAAGCUAAUGUGAACACGGUUCCGCACCUACAGAGCCCUGAGUUUCUGUGAUGACUGAGACACCCCCCCACCCCCGAAGGACCGGGAUGUGGGAAGCUUACAUUUUGAGAGAGGCUAGAACUGAGCCUGUAGGAACACAGAAGGAUGCGGAGGUAGAGAGAUCACCUCUGAGAAGGGAGUUGUUCUCUGACUCUUAAAACAGCUUUUUAAUCAGCUGACCAGUGGAUAUUCAUUUUGUGCUGUGCUUUCUAGAAGUAUGCUCUGCCAAUCCUACACCUAGUCUUUAAGAGGACUGGUCGCUUCCACUUUCUCGCUCUUCGGACACUUACUUUUGAGAGACCUGAACCACCAUGAAAUAAGUCUGACUACCUUACCAGAGGGACCCUGUGGGAAGAUUACGUGAAGAGGGAGAGGGACCCUGUUGUCAUAAUGUCCCCAUUAUCUGAAGAGAUGACUCCAGUCUCACGUGUCACCCGACUGCAACCAGAUGAGAAGCCCCAGGUGAUACCAGUGGAAGAACUGCCUACAUGAUCUCAGACAACCUACAGAAUCACAAGAGGGGGUCAUUCCAGUGCUUUCUAUUGAUGAAACUUAAAAUUCUGCCACCUGAUGACGGAGAACUUUUUGCAGGAUCCAAGUCCAGUAUCACAAAGUGCAGGGCAAAGAAGAGUGGAUUUGGAAUGGAGAGCCAAUAAAUUGAUAAGUUGCA